UGCUUGGGUAGCUCAGUGGUAGAGCACUUGCCCGUGAAAGGCAAAGGUCCCGAGUUCGAGUCUCGGUCCAGCAC
rnacentral:tRNA from 1 species